rnacentral:rRNA from 1 species
GACGAACGCUGGCGGCGUGCUUAACACAUGCAAGUCGAACGGAAAGGCCCUGCUUGCAGGGUACUCGAGUGGCGAACGGGUGAGUAACACGUGGGUGAUCUGCCCUGCACUUCGGGAUAAGCCUGGGAAACUGGGUCUAAUACCGGAUAGGAGCCAUUUUUAGUGUGAUGGUUGGAAAGUUUUUUCGGUGUAGGAUGAGCUCGCGGCCUAUCAGCUUGUUGGUGGGGUAAUGGCCUACCAAGGCGGCGACGGGUAGCCGGCCUGAGAGGGUGGACGGCCACAUUGGGACUGAGAGACGGCCCAGACUCCGACGGGAGGCAGCAGUGGGGAAUAUUGCACAAUGGGCGCAAGCCUGAUGCAGCGACGCCGCGUGGGGGAUGACGGCCUUCGGGUUGUAAAAUCCUUUCGCUAGGGACGAAGCUUUUUGUGACGGUACCUAGAUAAGAAGCACCGGCUAACUACGUG